rnacentral:lncRNA from 1 species
GCUUCGCCCCUCCUGUGCCCGCCCAGCUAGAGGGAAUUUAACCUCGGACUGCCCGGCGAUCGCCGAGUCACUCGAACAAACAGACAAGUUUCGCUUUACAAUCAGUUUUAAUACAAACAGGAAACUCCCGGGCCCCCCCCCCCCCCCCGCGGCUCUUCAGCUGCCCCAAUCGGGGCCAGCCGGCGGCUUCUCCAUCCUGGGACUCGGCCGGACAGUCGAUGCGGCUCCACGAACGCUGCCCUGAAAGGAAGAAAACGGCCGAGUGAAGUCACGUGCUUGGAAGCCAGACCCCACAGGCCCCGCCCCCGACGGGCCGGUAAAGACCAGAAAAACCCUGAAGGGAUGGACAAGAGGGCGGAAGUGAGGCUGUUCGGGUUGUGACCGGACAGAAGGGGGGCCGCGGGCGGCUCAGCCCCUUCCCGGCGGGGUGACCCCGACAAGUCCCGGGACCCCCCUUGCCCUGGAGCCAACAGAAAUGCUGCCGGACAGACUGUGGCUUGGCUCGAUUUGGGAACCGAACCAGAACUUGCCAGGAAUCGAUGUGGCGUUCAGGGCGGCUCAACAAUACAACACGUGGAAGUCUCAGUGGACGGAGCCGGGCCUAGCCGGGGGUCCUGGGUUCCAAUCUGGCCCCCGACCCGUCCCCAGCACUGCCUCCAGGAGGGCAAGUCAGAGACGCCGGCUGGGAAAUGAGGCUUCCAUGGAGCACCAGCCAUCAGGCCGCAGCCAGCGAUCCCACAAGCAAGGGCUCUUGGGGGAGUGCCUGGACCUCCGGGAUCCGCCGGAGCCGCUUCCGGGGGGCGGGCGCGCCUUUUUUGACACCUCGUGCACCAGUGGCCAAAGUGAACGGGCAACACAAAAGGCGAAUAGCCAGGCCGAGCGGCCCCCCACGUGACUCGGGCCAGCCCCCCGCCCCCCACCGACCUUGUCCGGCGGCGCUUCCUUCUUCCUCCUCCGUCCGGGCCGCCUCACACGUCUCCACUCCGGAUUCACGGUUUGCCGACGGCGGGCCUGAGAGAGAACAUGCGGGGUUCCCUUGGGUUACGCGGCACGUCCAAAUCCGCCUCCCUCAGCCCUCCUCCAGCCGCUCGCAUUCAGUCACCGCCCGGAGCGCACAAACGUUACUAACCGAAGCUUGUAUUUUUGGGGGUCUCUACUUAAGUCACGUGGAAAACCCACGUGAAUUCAAUGUAAGCGCUCCUCCCCCGCCGCCCCCCCCCACGUGGCUAACCACUUCCCAGCGCUUUCCUAGCUAG